CCUAUUAGUUAAUUCUAUACCCUUGCAGAGGGUGUUUUUAUUUAAACACGAAAUCUGUAAAGCAGACAUCUCCGACCAUACAUAUAUAAAGAGGUCAGUCAAUGAAGCAGUGUUCGUUUUGUCAUCCGUUAAACUAUGAAAACUAGUCUCCCAAAUUACUUGUUUGUCGAUCGGACUGAAUCACCAAAAUAUAAACCUGUUAGAGCUGCCACAAGGAAUAUCGGAAUAUUAAAUAACUUUGCCCAUAGGAACGAUCAGCCGAAGAUUGAAGCUAUGUGUUGAGGUCUGCAAGGUUAAAGUGCCCUGCGCAUGAUAAUGUGCAGCUGAUUUACCACAAGGCCGGAUGCAGUUCGCUUCUAUGCAAACGUAUUUUAUCUUCGUAAUCUUCACCAUUUUCGGCGACCAGUGCGAUAAGGUUUUCUAUGCACGUUGGCAAUUGUAUGCACGUUUCUGAAAAAACUACACAAAUUGCUUUAAAAUCGUGCACAACGAUUUGUAAUAUAUAUAAAAUGAAAAUAAUUGAGAUGUAGGAAGUUUUCAAUUUGAAUGGUAGGAUGAAGGAUCAAGGAUAUAGGUUAUUGGAUGGGUUACUAAGGGUUUUUGGCAGAACAGAACAGACAAAGGCAAUUGCCAAACUAACAAUACACACCUUCGGCAGGAGGUGUCGAUGGCUGCACUUGCAGCUGCAUCUGCUGCAGCAUCUGCAGAUUCUGGUGAUGCUGGGGCUGUGACUGCGGCUGAUGUGAUGCUUGCUCCUCUGAUUGCAUAGGAGGCGGAGGCGGUGGAGGUGGAUUAAUCGUCACAUGCUCUGGCAGCAAACCCAGCUGCUCCGCCUGAGUUACAUUAGGCAUCUGUAUGGCUUCCAGAUUAAUCUGCGGUUUUGGUAUAGCAUUCAGGUCAAAGUCUUUGGGUGCCGGUAUGGCGUUCAAUUGAUGCAUAGCUGUUUCGGGCGGCAUCUGUGCUGGUCCUAAUUGCAUAUAAAUUGGCGUCAAAUUAGCCAACGACAUGGGCAGCUGUGGCGGAGGUGGUGGUGGCGGCGGCGGUGCCACUGCAGCGGGAUGUAGUUGCAUAGGCAAAUGAUGGUGUCCAUGGAAGAAGGCCGGCAUUGUCAUUUGAGGCGGCCCCUGUGCCAAAAGCGUUGGGUUGAAUGCAAACGGCGGCGGUGGCGGUGGUUGCACAGCCUGCGGCAUCGCUGUUGCCGUCACUGGCAUGGUAAACGUUAAAUGAUUGUGCCCUGCGCUGGAUACUGUAAUGCUGCCAGCCAUGGAAGUAGCUAUCACUGCCGCAGCACUCGUCGCUAUCGUGCUAGCCGCCAGAUCCACCGUC